rnacentral:rRNA from 1 species
CCUACGGGUGGCAGCAGUGAGGAAUAUUGGUCAAUGGACGAGAGUCUGAACCAGCCAAGUCGCGUGAAGGAUGACGUCCCUAUGGGUUGUAAACUUCUUUUAUCAGGGAACAAAACGAGGCACGUGUGCCUCUUUGAGAGUACCUGAUGAAAAAGGAUCGGCUAACUCCGUGCCAGCAGCCGCGGUAAUACGGAGGAUGCGAGCGUUAUCCGGAUUUAUUGGGUUUAAAGGGAGCGUAGGUGGGUUGUUAAGUCAGCUGUGAAAUUUCGCGGCUCAACCGCCGAAUUGCCGUUGAUACUGGCAGUCUUGAGUGCGGGUGAGGUAGGCGGAAUGCGUGGUGUAGCGGUGAAAUGCUUAGAUAUCACGAAGAACUCCGAUUGCGAAGGCAGCAUACUGGCGUGCAACUGACGUUGAUGCUCGAAAGUGUGGGUAUCGAACAGGAUUAGAUACCCCUGUAGUC